rnacentral:rRNA from 1 species
GACGAACGCUGGCGGCGUGCCUAAUACAUGCAAGUAGAACGCUGAAGGAGGAGCUUGCUUCUCUGGAUGAGUUGCGAACGGGUGAGUAACGCGUAGGUAACCUGCCUGGUAGCGGGGGAUAACUAUUGGAAACGAUAGCUAAUACCGCAUAACAGUAGAUAUCGCAUGAUAUCUACUUGAAAGGUGCAAUUGCAUCACUACCAGAUGGACCUGCGUUGUAUUAGCUAGUUGGUGAGGUAACGGCUCACCAAGGCGACGAUACAUAGCCGACCUGAGAGGGUGAUCGGCCACACUGGGACUGAGACACGGCCCAGACUCCUACGGGAGGCAGCAGUAGGGAAUCUUCGGCAAUGGACGGAAGUCUGACCGAGCAACGCCGCGGGAGUGAAGAAGGUUUUCAGAUCGUAAAGCUCUGUUGUAAGAGAAGAACGAGUGUGAGAGUGGAAAGUUCACACUGUGACGGUAUCUUACCAGAAAGGGACGGCUAACUACGUG